UCCAGACUCCUACGGGAGGCAGCAGUGAGGAAUAUUGGUCAAUGGGCGGGAGCCUGAACCAGCCAAGUCGCGUGAGGGAAGACGGUCCUACGGAUUGUAAACCUCUUUUGCCGGGGAGCAAAAGCCGGACGUGUCCGGCCGUGAGAGUACCCGAAGAAAAAGCAUCGGCUAACUCCGUGCCAGCAGCCGCGGUAAUACGGAGGAUGCGAGCGUUAUCCGGAUUUAUUGGGUUUAAAGGGUGCGCAGGCGGAUUUUUAAGUCAGCGGUCAAAUCGUGGGGCUCAACCCCAUCCAGCCGUUGAAACUGGGGAUCUAGAGUGUGCGAGAGGUAUGCGGAAUGCGUGGUGUAGCGGUGAAAUGCAUAGAUAUCACGCAGAACCCCGAUUGCGAAGGCAGCAUACCGGUGCACAACUGACGCUCAGGCACGAAAGCGUGGGUAUCGAACAGGAUUAGAUACCCCCGUAC
rnacentral:rRNA from 1 species